rnacentral:rRNA from 1 species
UACGUAGGGGGCGAGCGUUGUCCGGAAUUAUUGGGCGUAAAGCGCGUGUAGGCGGUCCGGUAAGUCCGCUGUGAAAGUCGGGGGCUCAACCCUCGGAUGCCGGUGGAUACUGUCGGGCUUGAGUACGGAAGAGGCGAGUGGAAUUCCUGGUGUAGCGGUGAAAUGCGCAGAUAUCAGGAGGAACACCAAUUGCGAAGGCAGCUCGCUGGGACGUUACUGACGCUGAGACGCGAAAGCGUGGGGAGCAAACAGG